AGUGAACGCUGGCGGUAGGCCUAACACAUGCAAGUCGAACGGCAGCACAGUAAGAGCUUGCUCUUACGGGUGGCGAGUGGCGGACGGGUGAGGAAUACAUCGGAAUCUACUUUUUCGUGGGGGAUAACGUAGGGAAACUUACGCUAAUACCGCAUACGACCUACGGGUGAAAGCAGGGGAUCUUCGGACCUUGCGCGAUUGAAUGAGCCGAUGUCGGAUUAGCUAGUUGGCGGGGUAAAGGCCCACCAAGGCGACGAUCCGUAGCUGGUCUGAGAGGAUGAUCAGCCACACUGGAACUGAGACACGGUACAGACUCCUAAGGGAGGCAGCAGUGGGGAAUAUUGGACAAUGGGCGCAAGCCUGAUACAGCCAUACCGCGUGGGUGAAGAAGGCCUUCGGGUUGUAAAGCCCUUUUGUUGGGAAAGAAAAGCAGCAGGUUAAUACGCCGCUGUUCUGACGGUACCCAAAGAAUAAGCACCGGCUAACUUCGUG
rnacentral:rRNA from 1 species